UAACUACGUGCCAGCAGCCGCGGUAAUACGUAGGUGGCAAGCGUUGUCCGGAAUUACUGGGUGUAAAGGGAGCGCAGGCGGGUGAUCAAGUCAGCUGUGAAAACUACGGGCUUAACCCGUAGACUGCAGUUGAAACUGUUCAUCUUGAGUGAAGUAGAGGUUGGCGGAAUUCCGAGUGUAGCGGUGAAAUGCGUAGAUAUUCGGAGGAACACCGGUGGCGAAGGCGGCCAACUGGGCUUUAACUGACGCUGAGGCUCGAAAGUGUGGGGAGCAAACAGGAUUAGAUACCCUGGUAGUCCACACUGUAAACGAUGAUUGCUAGGUGUGGGGGGUCUGACCCCUUCCGUGCCGGAGCUAACGCAAUAAGCAAUCCACCUGGGGAGUACGACCGCAAGGUUGAAACUCAAAGGAAUUGACGGGGACCCGCACAAGCAGUGGAUUAUGUGGUUUAAUUCGAAGCAACGCGAAGAACCUUACCAGCACUUGACAUCCAACUAACGAAAUAGAGAUAUAUUAGGUGCCCUUCGGGGAAAGUUGAGACAGGUGGUGCAUGGUUGUCGUCAGCUCGUGUCGUGAGAUGUUGGGUUAAGUCCCGCAACGAGCGCAACCCUCGCCAUUAGUUGCUACGCAAGAGCACUCUAAUGGGACCGCUACCGACAAGGUGGAGGAAGGUGGGGACGACGUCAAAUCAUCAUGCCCCUUAUGUGCUGGGCUACACACGUAAUACAAUGGCCAUCAACAGAGAGAAGCAAUACCGCGAGGUGGAGCAAAACUUCAAAAAUGGUCUCAGUUCGGACUGCAGGCUGCAACCCGCCUGCACGAAGUUGGAAUUGCUAGUAAUCGUGGAUCAGCAUGCCACGGUGAAUACGUUCCCGGGUCUUGUACACACCGCCCGUCACACCAUGGGAGCCGGUAACACCCGAAGUCAGUAGUCUAACCGCAAGGAGGACGCUGCCGAAGGUGGGAUUGGCGACUGGGGUGAAGUCGUAACAAGGUAGCCGUAUCGGAAGGUGCGGCUG
rnacentral:rRNA from 1 species